rnacentral:rRNA from 1 species
UCCUACGGGAGGCAGCAGUGGGGAAUAUUGGACAAUGGGCGAAAGCCUGAUCCAGCCAUGCCGCGUGUGUGAAGAAGGUCUUCGGAUUGUAAAGCACUUUAAGUUGGGAGGAAGGGCAGUUACCUAAUACGUGAUUGUUUUGACGUUACCGACAGAAUAAGCACCGGCUAACUCUGUGCCAGCAGCCGCGGUAAUACAGAGGGUGCAAGCGUUAAUCGGAAUUACUGGGCGUAAAGCGCGCGUAGGUGGUUUGUUAAGUUGGAUGUGAAAUCCCCGGGCUCAACCUGGGAACUGCAUUCAAAACUGACUGACUAGAGUAUGGUAGAGGGUGGUGGAAUUUCCUGUGUAGCGGUGAAAUGCGUAGAUAUAGGAAGGAACACCAGUGGCGAAGGCGACCACCUGGAC